GAUGAACGCUGGCGGCGUGCCUAAUACAUGCAAGUCGAGCGAACAGACGAGGAGCUUGCUCCUCUGACGUUAGCGGCGGACGGGUGAGUAACACGUGGAUAACCUACCUAUAAGACUGGGAUAACUUCGGGAAACCGGAGCUAAUACCGGAUAAUAUAUUGAACCGCAUGGUUCAAUAGUGAAAGACGGUUUUGCUGUCACUUAUAGAUGGAUCCGCGCCGCAUUAGCUAGUUGGUAAGGUAACGGCUUACCAAGGCAACGAUGCGUAGCCGACCUGAGAGGGUGACCGGCAACACUGGAACUGAGACACGGUCCAGACUCCUACGGGAGGCAGCAGUAGGGAAUCUUCCGCAAUGGGCGAAAGCCUGACGGAGCAACGCCGCGUGAGUGAUGAAGGUCUUCGGAUCGUAAAACUCUGUUAUUAGGGAAGAACAAAUGUGUAAGUAACUAUGCACGUCUUGACGGUACCUAAUCAGAAAGCCACGGCUAACUACGUG
rnacentral:rRNA from 1 species